AAUAAAUGUAAAGCGCAUGACUCAUUGAUUUGAAAAAAUAUGACGGUCCCGCUAUUUGUUAUUUGUGUAGAGUACUUUUUUAUUUAAAAAUAUUAUUUGCUAAAAUAUAACAUUUGUGCGAGUGUAAAAACUCGUUUAGUUUCAGUAAUCAAACAUUAAUAAGUGUUAAAUUUUUGUUUUCUACGCGUUUAUUCACACACGAUUAUUUAAACGGAGAGAGCGGAAUUUUAUUGUUUAGUUAUAAUGCCUGUUGCUGACAUCUUAAAAUAUUAAUUUACUCGAUUAUUUUUGAUAUAAAUAGUAAUUAUUAAAAAUAGAGACUAUCGCGAUCACGUGUUAAGUUGCCGUUCGCUAUUGUUUAUGAGUGUUUCGUAAAAUGUUUUAAUAUAAUAUCGUUUAGUUAGAAAUCUAUUGCAGAAGAAUAGUCCCUAUUUUCGUCGAGGUGGACGUCAUUUUAUUAUUGUCGAAAAAUAAACACACGCAGUGGUUAGGUGUGAUGUACAUGAAACUGUUCCAAGUACAUAAUUCAAACUAAGAUUAUAAAUCAGAAAUAUUAUUAGCUAUAACUCAUAUUUGACACAUAUCACGUGACGAGACUCUUGUUGACUUCCAACUACAUUAUUUUGUGACACAAACCUGUAAUUGGACAUUCGUAGUUUAUGUGUAAUAAAAUAUUGUUGCAGUUAUCUUUCUGAAGCUUCAACAAUCUGGAGACGUACAACAGCAACAGCUGGAAAGUAUAAGUUGAUGUAUUAUGUUAAUAUUUUUAAUGAGACCAAUAAAUAAUGAAGAGGUUAUUACUAUGACGAUGUUUCAAUGCGCUGAUAGAACUGUAGAAGUACUAAUGAUUAUACAUGGAGUAUAAAAACAAAUAAUAUUCCACUAAACAAUUUCAAAAAUGCCUAAGAGUCAAAUUUAUAACUUAACAUAAAUUGAAAUUUGCCAAUAUUAUCAUAGAUUGUAAAUGAAAAGACAUGUUAGAAAAAAUUAGCAAUUGUCAUCAUCAUUUAUUGAAGGCAAUGGAUAAAAAUAAAUAUAUAUAGUACUUACGAAACAAAAUUGUGUUUAUUCAUAAAAUUAAAAUUAUGUUAUGGCAGAUUAAAGAUGAAGAAAUAAAAUAUGAAAAAAAUAUUUUAGAUACAAAAAUAGCAAGAUUACCUUUUGGUGUAAAAGUUGCUAUUUUACAUUAUAAACGUUUUUGUAAAAUAUCAUUUAAAAUAUUAUCAAGCAAUAACUUUUAAAAACUACUUUAAUUAUAAUAAUCUAUUUUUUUUCCUUCUCUUUAAUUUUACUAUUAUGGUUUUUUUUUGUGUAUGUUAACACUUUUUUUCAGCUCUCAUCAUAAAUGAUUUUUUUUAACAGUACGUUAAAACAUCACAAAUGGUAUGUUAUCAAAGAAAUUGACCUUACAAUUGAAAAAAUUUCCCCCGUUCCCUUUAUAUUGGGCAAAUCCCCGCGAAAAUAACAAAUUUAAAAAUCGCUAAUUUUCGAAUUUUUUUUCUCUUUUUUUAUCUUAAAACUGCCAUAACUUUUAAAAAUAAUUUUUUUUCUUUUAAAACCUUGGGCAUUUCUUUUUUAUAUGAUCUCAUUUUAUGAUAUCACAACAACUAAUCUUCUAUGUACAAAUUUAAUUUGCUAUAACUUUAUGUCAAUUUACGUCAAAGGAACACGAUUUUAUCUUCUAUGUGCACAAAUGGCCGUCAAAGCUGCACAAAAAAUAGGAGUUCAUUUUGCUUUUGGAAUAAUCUACCAAUAUCUUAAAAUUAAUCACUAUCUACAGAUUUGCAUCGUAGCGUUUUUUAUGAUAGUGAUUUGUAGAUAAAAGUUAGAUUUUUCGUUAAAUUCGAUGAGCAUUUCCCCAUAGAAGAAAAGGUAUCGGGAAAAUUUUUUUUUUUUUUUGAACUUAAAUUAUAUAAUAUAACCUUUAAUUUGACAUAUAUUUAAAGCUCGGAAUAUUUCCGGAACAUUUUCAAAAAUUAAAUUGAAUAAGUUCUACAUUUACUCGCAAGAUUUCAAGUUUUUAACCCCAAUGUAUAAAAGAAAAUGGCACAAUUUAAAGAAAAAUAGGUCGAACGAAAGGUAUAUUUAAUUUUUUUUAGAAACAAACAUUUGUAUUGAUAAAAUUUUCUACUUAAAUUUGAAAGUGUUCCGGAAAUAUUGACACUU